rnacentral:rRNA from 1 species
UACGUAGGGGGCUAGCGUUGUCCGGAAUCAUUGGGCGUAAAGCGCGUGUAGGCGGUCCGGUAAGUCCGCUGUGAAAGUCGGGGGCUCAACCCUCGAAUGCCGGUGGAUACUGUCGGGCUAGAGUCCGGAAGAGGCGAGUGGAACUCCUGGUGUAGCGGUGGAAUGCGCAGAUAUCAGGAAGAACACCGACGGCGAAGGCAGCUCGCUGGGACGGUACUGACGCUGAGGCGCGAAAGCGUGGGGAGCGAACAGG